UUUAUACUUCCUCUGUUCAACAAAACAUGUUUCAAGUUUGUCAAAAUUUGAUUGUACUUAGACAUGACUUAGUGUAUAGAUGCAUUCAAACUUGGUCAAAGUUAAGACAUUUUUUGUUAGACGGAGGGAGUAGAAG
rnacentral:pre_miRNA from 1 species